rnacentral:rRNA from 1 species
GAUCAUGGCUCAGGAUGAACGCUAGCUACAGGCUUAACACAUGCAAGUCGAGGGGCAGCAUGGUCUUAGCUUGCUAAGGCCGACGGCCACCGGCGCACGGGUGAGUAACGCGUAUCCAACCUGCCUUACACUCUUGGACAGCCUUCUGAAAGGGAGAUUAAUACAAGAUGUUAUCAUGAGUAAGCAUUUUCGCAUGAUUAAAGGUUUACCGGUGUAAGAUGGGGAUGCGUU